AUCUCGUUAUCUCCUCCUCUUCAAUUUGCACUACACCAAAAAGUACUUUCCACAACACAUAAUUAUAAGUUUUUUGAAAAAGUAUUAUAAUAAAUACUUGUAAAAAGUGGUAAAGUAAUACAGCUAAAAGAAAAAGAGGCAAAUGAGAAAAUGAAAUUUCAUAACAAAAAAAGAAGACAAGCGGCAAAUGAAAAAAUAAGUGGCAAAUUUUAAUAUUUCACUAACUCUCUUUUCCCCAAUUUCUAUCAUUUACCAUACAAAAACAACCCUAAUCAUUCUCUCUUCUGUCUUUUCCCCAUGGAUGGCUUGUUCUAUCUUCUCUAUCGUUUCCCACUGAUGGCACAUAGAGAGUCAUAGCCAUUCUUCUUUUAUUUCACUAAAUUUAUUUUGCUCCAGUGCCUCCACUUAUCCAUGGCUAGGGCUGCCAUCAAGGUUGAUCUCUUCAUAAUGGAGAGGGGUUAGUCCUCUUCCAAAUUUCAAUUCCAAGAGUUUCUUCCUCACUAAUGAAGAUUUCAAGGGUGGUGAUUCAUGGCUUGUUUUGAUAUUCAUAUGGAUGUAAAGAAUCAAGAUUAUGCAACUAUAUGGGUGCCCAAAAUAUGCAUUUUUUCAGGAAAUGAGGUUUGUUUUCUAGAUACCUAAUUUCUCUCUAAGAGAAUUAUUUUUCUAUAGGACCUAAUUGUUUUGGGCAUAUAAAAUAAUAUCAUUAAUGCUCAUUACCCCUUGUAUAUAAAUUUAUAUAUGUAUAAGUAUAUAUUUAUAUAUAAAAGAAAUUUUAAUUUAGUUCAACUAUAUCAAUGAGAAUUUUGUUGUUGUCGAUGGGAAUGUUUGAAAAAAUGUGGCAAAUGAUAGCAAUUAUGGAUAGCUUAAAUGGUUUACAACUUGGAAACAAAGGGACCAAAUUGUUGACUUUUAAUUGCCAUAUGAGAUUAUUGGGUUGUGCGACAAAAGUGAGUACUACUCUAUUAUGCCUUCAUUCAAUUUCUAGAUGGGUAAAUACAAACUUAAUCCAAUAUGUUUAAGAAAUAACUUCUUUGAGUUCUUACUAGAAAAUUUGACUAUGAGAUUGGAUUUUUAAUUGAGUAUUGCUCAUUUUAGUUUGAAACGUUUUGAAAUUAAAGAUUAAGUUUUAUGUAACAAUGCUUAUGGUUUAAGAAAGAAAAAAAAAACUGCACUCCAUAUGUUUGGUAAAAUGUCUUAGAGACAUAAUAUAAUGUAUAGAUGUUUUAUAUAGACUAUUUCUUAGAAAAUAUAAUAUAGCUAUGCUUGAUCAUAGAUAAAUCAUCAUAGUGAUAGCUUAACAUCACGUUGGUAAUACUAAUGUUACACUUUAAUUCAAAAGUUCAAUUUUUUUUAUUUUUUUUCAUUCUUUCUAUUAUAUAUACUUUCUACAGUUUUCUUCAUAAUAGGUUUAAUGUUUAAUAAACUGUCAAACAAUUAUUUUCUUCACUGUUGUUAUAUAAUGAUAUAUGUUUCUUUUAUUUAUAUUAGAUGCAUUGUAUUUUUAUUAUUUGCUUAGCUUCCUAGAUGUCAUUUCACUUGUAGCAAUAAGUGGGGUUUUUAGUAGCGUUUGUCUUAGAAGCAACAUUCCAUCUCGCCUCUAGCUAGAGUAGGUGUGUGCCAUAUGAAUCUACAUCUUAAGUAGCCUACAAAUACCAAUGUCUAAUUAUUGUCUACAAAGAAAAAAAUCUUUUAUACCAUGACAAAACAUAAAUGACAAAUAUUAGAAUAAUUACUAUUUUAUAUAUAUAUAUUUGAAAGGAUAUACACUAUUAUAUUUUAAUUCAUAUAUUUUAUGUCCCAUGACAUGUGACUUCAAUUUUUCUUAUAAAAGAAAUGAUCCAUUAUAAAUGUUUCUCAGUACUCCCUUUGAUUAUCAUAUACAAAAAAGUCUCUUCCACUUUCCUACUAAAUCUCUCUUUAUUCUGGCACAUAAAUGAAAGGAUCGAAGAGAUUAUGGUAGAUUAUGUUCACCAAGAAAUAACCCGAAAUUGGAUCUUUGUUUCAUUAUGUAUUCAUUUAUAUAUAUAUGUGUGUGUGGGUUCGUGUCCCUUUAGCAAAUGUUUUUUCACCUCACUUUGUGUCUUUGUUUAUAUGUUCUUUCAUUCACUAUUUAUAUACUGCAAUAUUUGAAAGACUAAUAAGUUAAACAAAGAAAAAAUACACCAAAACUCAAUUAUUUGUGCCACACUUUUAUUUUUUUCACCAAUGUGUGUUUGUAUCUCACAUUAUAGAUUUAACUUGUUGAGUUAUAUUGUUUAUGAAUAAUUUGCUAAAGAGAUUUAUUAAAUUCAUAAUUAAAUUUUCUUAAAUAAAAGUAGUAACAUGUUAAUUUUAUUAAUAAAAAUAGUACUUCUUAUUAUGUCUUUUUAUGUUGUGAAACAAAACAAGUCCUUGCAAACAACUUGGAUUUUGCUUUAUUUUGUUUCAUGGCGAAGAGUUUUAAUUGAUAUGUAAAUAUGUCUUGGAGAAGACCCUCUUGUAUUUUAUUAUGCCCAACUCACAAUAAGAACUUGUACAGAUUCUAUAUAUGAAAUGAUACAAAUCCAUCUUGUAAUAAGGCA